UACGGAGGAUGCGAGCGUUAUCCGGAUUUAUUGGGUUUAAAGGGUGCGUAGGCGGCUUUUUGAGUCAGCGGUGAAAUUUUGCAGCUUAACUGUAACAGUGCCGUUGAUACUGGGGAGCUAGGAUUUGGUUGCUGUGGGUGGAAUGUGUGGUGUAGCGGUGAAAUGCUUAGAGAUCACACAGAAUAUCGAUUGCGAAGGCAGCUCACAAAGCCAAGAUUGACGCUGAGGCACGAAAGUGUGGGGAUCAAACAGGA
rnacentral:rRNA from 1 species